rnacentral:misc_RNA from 1 species
UAAUAAGUGUUUUAUGGCACUUUUUAAAUCCAUAUCCACCUUGUGUGCAAUGUCAGUCGAUCUUCUUCAUGGAGAUCGACCAAACAUCAACCUUUAUCUUAAUCUUUGUCUGAAACAUAUUAUGAAUAACUUAAUUCAAAAUA